rnacentral:tRNA from 1 species
ACUUAUAUAGUUUAAAUAAUAAAACAUUCCAUUUUCAAUGAAAAAAUAGGUUACCCUUAUAAGUU